rnacentral:lncRNA from 1 species
UUUUAUGGUCUGAUGCUGUUGUGACUUAAUGCCACUUUGUUUAGUACCCAUAAUCAUCUUGUUUAUGGCCAUGGCCUACUUUGGGAACAUUUCUUAUAACAUGGUCCCCAAAAAGAACACACAGCAGACCUAAAUUCCUAAUUGUUUGAUUUUUCACAAGUUACUUCAUUCCUUUAAGCUUUGAUUCCUCAUUGUGAAAAAGGGAUAAUAUAUUUACAUUUCAGAUCACUUUGAGAAUUAAAUGAAAUGUCCACAAUGUGUCUAGUCCUGUGCCUGGAGUUUAUUAAAAUACAUGAAUACCUUGGGGGCACCCAGGUGGGCUAAGUGUCAAUUGGUUAAGUAUCCUACUCUUGAUUUUGGCUCAGGUCAUGAUCUCAGGGUCAUGAGAUGGAGCCCCAUAUUGGCUCCAUGCUGAGCAUGGAUUUUUCUCUCUCCUCUCUCUGCCCCUCCCUCCUCCCCCAACCAUGCAUAAACUUUCUCUCUCUCUCUCUAAAACAACAAAAACAAAACAAAACUAUGUGCCAAGCACACCUCUUUGGGGCUUAGGAUCUAGAAGAACAUGUGACAGAAAAUGGCUCUGCUUUCAUGGAACUUACAGUCUGUUGAGAUAAAAAUCAACCAUAAACUCAACAAAAGAGCAAGUCAUUCCAGGCAAUAUCGAUAAAAGCUCUAUAAUAAAUAAAAUGAGGCACUAUGAAAGAAAGUGGUGUUUAUGGAAUGCUCAUUUUCAUCCUGAUUUUCAACUGUAUAUGAUUGGUAUUCCAUAUAUGGAGAAAGAGAUGAAGGCUAUUGAGAAUAUGCUUGUCAAAUGAGAUAAGCAAAGGGCAAAAGAUGGAGAAUGAGUAAGAACUGCAGUUUAAAACAUAAAUACAUGGCCCAAAUUUUAAAUGUCUGUACUGCUCUAAGAUGUGCCUUCUUAAAUGUUGUUCUUUUUUUAUUAAAUUAUGUUCUAUAGAAUAUAUGAUCCUCUCAGAAACAGAGAACAUUCCAUUGUUCAUUGUCAUGGAAAGGAAAUACAGUUGGGGCUUUAUCACUUGCUUUUGUUGUGGUUGUGCUUUAAAAAAAAAUAAAAAAAACAACUUCAGAAAUUACUCUAUUAUGUGUGAUGAGUUUGAUUUUAGUAAAACUAAGAACAUCUUGUCACAUAAUUCAGGCCCCUAACUACACUUUCAGUCCGCAAAUUCUGAGUUGAGCUGGGCUCGGAAGUCAGCAUGCUGAUGAGGACAGAAUGGGAAUAAUUAGGUGUAUCUAAAACAAAGGAUGGAUUUAUAUAGAGAGAACCAGUUCUGAGAUUUCUGAGACCUAUUUUCUGGCCCAUGAAUGAUAAAUGAACUCAUUUGAGGC